GAGGCGCCUAGAGGGAAAGCGAGAGGGAGACGGACGUUGAGAGAACGAGGAGGAAGGAGAGAAAAUGGCGUCCACGGAUUACAGUACCUAUAGCCAAGCUGCAGCGCAGCAGGGCUACAGUGCUUACACCGCCCAGCCCACUCAAGGAUAUGCACAGACCACCCAGGCGUAUGGGCAACAAAGCUAUGGAACCUAUGGACAGCCCACCGAUGUCAGCUAUACCCAGGCUCAGACCACUGCAACCUAUGGGCAGACCGCCUAUGCAACUUCUUAUGGACAGCCUCCCACUGUAGAAGGGACCAGUACAGGUUUGACUAUCCUGCUCAUUCUUGCAUGGGAAAUGCUUUCCAUCUUGUCUAACCCUGUAAUGUUAAUCCUUUAGGUGUUUUCAUUUGUUUAACCCCCAAACUUUCUAACAUCACACACAGCAAGGUGCUAAUGAAAAACUGCUUCAGGUGCCAUUUGCAGAUCCAUGUCCU
rnacentral:sRNA from 1 species